AGAUUGAACGCUGGCGGCAUGCCUUACACAUGCAAGUCGAACGCGAAAGGGGGCAACCCCGAGUAGAGUGGCGAACGGGUGAGUAAUACAUCGGAACAUAUCCAGUAGCGGGGGAUAACCUCGAGAAAUCGAGGCUAAUACCGCAUACGUCCUACGGGAGAAAGCGGGGGACCGCAAGGCCUCGCACUAUUGGAGUGGCCGAUGUCGGAUUAGCUAGUUGGCGGGUAAAAGCCCACCAAGGCUACGAUCCGUAGCUGGUCUGAGAGGAUGAUCAGCCACACUGGGACUGAGACACGGCCCAGACUCCUACGGGAGGCAGCAGUGGGGAAUUUUGGACAAUGGGCGAAAGCCUGAUGGAGCAACGCCGCGUGCAGGAUGAAGGCCCUCGGGUCGUAAACUGCUUUAUGAGUGAAGAAUAUGAA
rnacentral:rRNA from 1 species